CCGAUACUUACCUGUCCCGGGUUUCCCGCUGUGUCCUGGAGGCAGUACACAGAGGGCUUGGGUGGCCGCUACUUCCUCUGUCCCUCCUUGCUUCAAUGUCCAUCAGCCUCUGCUUAGAUGUCGCCACAGUAAGAUGGUGGCCACCUCGUGAACAUGCGCACAGUGUUCAGGGAGGACCUGGUGAAGGAGGCAUUAGCUAAGCAGAGGGGAGAGACUGCAG